UUGGCAGACUAGACAAUCGCUGGCACAAAUGUGCGGGAGGAAAGUCCGGGCUACAUAGGGCAAUGUGCUAGCUAACAGCUAGGAGGCGAAAGCCUACGACCAGUGCAGCAGAGAAUAGACCGCCUAUUAAUAGGUAAGGGUGAAACGGUGGGGUAAGAGCCCACCGCGUGACUGGUGACAGCUCACGGCAAGGUAAACUCCACAUGUAGCAAGACCAAAUAGGAACUCAAUGGGUUGCCCGCCCAGAGUUCGGGUAGGUUGCUUGAGCAUAUCAGCAAUGAUAUGCCUAGAUGAAUGAUUGUCCACGACAGAACUCGGCUUAUCGGUCUGCCUUUACU
rnacentral:RNase_P_RNA from 1 species